UACAGAGGUCUCAAGCGUUGUUCGGAUUCAUUGGGCGUAAAGGGUGCGUAGGCGGCGCGGUAAGUCGGGUGUGAAAUCUCGGAGCUUAACUUCGAAACUGCAUUCGAUACUGCCGUGCUUGAGGACUGGAGAGGAGACUGGAAUUUACGGUGUAGCGGUGAAAUGCGUAGAUAUCGUAAGGAAGACCAGAGGCGAAGGCGGGUAUCUGGACAGAUACUGACGCUGAGGCACGAAGGUCAGGGGAGCAAACGGG
rnacentral:rRNA from 1 species